ensembl:lncRNA novel transcript
CCCUUCCCUCGCCGCCCGGGCCCGCCCUGGCCAGUUGCAGCGGCCUGGCCACCUCAGGAGCACGCUGUCUCUUCCCGACGUGCAGCCCGGGGCCCGGCCCUGUCCCCGGGUGACUGCUCCCCGGCAGGACUGCACAUCUGUGGCGGCAGGCCCAGCUCAGGGCUCGGGGGAGGUUCGGCCUUGCCUUCAAAGAGCUCCCUCUCCUGCAGGGCGAGCGCAGAGCGGCGGGCGAGACCACACUGCGUGUGCUGAGGGCGCACUGGUCUUAGCGGGAGGGAAGCCUCACGAGCCUGUACACUUGGAGGAGCCCUAAGCGUUAGGAUCUGCUGCGAGGGCUGCCUGGAACGGAGGUGAGAGGAUACAAGUGGCCCGGGGCAAGCAUAGUGAAUCACUGGCUAAUCUGGCCUUCGAGGUAGUGAAAGGAAAAAAG